rnacentral:rRNA from 1 species
UACGUAGGGGGCAAGCGUUGUCCGGAAUCAUUGGGCGUAAAGCGAGCGUAGGCGGCCCGAUAAGUCUGCUGUAAAAGUCAACGGCUCAACCGUUGAAAGCCGGUGGAUACUGUCGGGCUAGAGUUCGGAAGAGGCAAGUGGAAUUCCUGGUGUAGCGGUGGAAUGCGCAGAUAUCGGGAGGAACACCUAUGGCGAAGGCAGCUCGCUGGGACGGUACUGACGCUGAGACGCGAAAGCGUGGGGAGCGAACAGG